rnacentral:rRNA from 1 species
UACGUAGGGGGCUAGCGUUGUCCGGAUUUAUUGGGCGUAAAGAGCGUGUAGGCGGCCAGAUAGGUCUGCUGUGAAAACUCGAGGCUCAACCUCGAGCUGUCGGCGGAAACCAUCUGGCUAGAGUCCGGAAGAGGAGAGUGGAAUUCCCGGUGUAGCGGUGAAAUGCGCAGAUAUCAGGAGGAACACCGAUGGCGAAGGCAGGUCUCUGGGCAUUAACUGACGCUGAGAGCGAAAGCAUGGGGGAGCGAACGG